GUGAAUCAUCAAAUUUUUGAACGCAAAUUGCACUUUCUGGUAUUCCGGAAAGUAUGCCUGUUUGAGGGUCAGUUAAAUAAAAAUCGGUGUUGUUGCUGCCUUUCGGGGUGAGUCGGCGGAAUUGGGUCUUUUUACUUUGGGUUAAUUGACUAAAAAUUUUUUCAGGAUUUUCGAACGGAUUUAAUUGGUUUACGAAGUUUUGAGA
rnacentral:misc_RNA from 1 species